rnacentral:rRNA from 1 species
AUUGAACGCUGGCGGCAGGCCUAACACAUGCAAGUCGAGCGGUAGAGAGGUGCUUGCAUCUCUUGAGAGCGGCGGACGGGUGAGUAAUGCCUAGGAAUCUGCCUAGUGGUGGGGGAUAACGUUCGGAAACGGACGCUAAUACCGCAUACGUCCUACGGGAGAAAGCGGGGGAUCUUCGGACCUCGCGCCAUUAGAUGAGCCUAGGUCGGAUUAGCUAGUUGGUGAGGUAAUGGCUCACCAAGGCGACGAUCCGUAACUGGUCUGAGAGGAUGAUCAGUCACACUGGAACUGAGACACGGUCCAGACUCCUACGGGAGGCAGCAGUGGGGAAUAUUGGACAAUAGGGCGAAAGACCUGAUCCAGCCAUGCC